CUUCAUUGUUCACUCCACUCAUGUUCUUGUUAGAGUGGAAGGAGAUAUAAUGAUUAGUAUAGGACAAGACUCUCUUUCUACAAGAAUCUUUACCCUUUUAGUGGUCCUUCAUAAUGAGCUUUCCUUAUAUCAUCUCUCUUUUCCUUUCCACUUAUACAUUCUUGAUUGUUUUUAAAUCUGAUACCCAUCCAUGUAAUGUAGAUGAUAUUGAAAUCGAUUGGCAGUAUUCACGGCUUGUGACCUUUCUUUAUGUGCUUCAUGGCUCGCUAUUAUGAAAUAAUGAAGCCCAUCUUUUCCUUCCUUUAUGUCACAUUGUGUCCAUUAUGCAUUUGUAUACCAAUUAUGAGAUUCUAGUUAGAAUGAAAAUAAUAUUAUAUAUUAACAUGAUAAAGAUUUGAUAGGAAUACAAUAGCAACAAUGAAACAUAAUCUUGCAUGAAAAUAUUAUCGCUUGAUAUUUAAGCUGUCUUACGUGGUAUAUUUUGGUCAAUAAUAAAAAGGAAAGAGAAGAAAAGGAAAGAACUGAAAAUUCUAUUUAAGAUUAAAUAUUCUUCUAAUUUAAGCAGUUUCUUGAGGUUGAUUUUUGAGUUUUGGGUUGAAUCUUUUACAGGCUUUGUAAAAUAUCCAAGGCAUUGUACCUUGGGGGGGAAAAAAGCCCAGUCUCUGAAAUAUAAAAUCUCGUCCUUGCAGGUGAAAAUGAGUUGAGACAUGCUUCUCCAUUUUUCCCUGGGGCUUCCAGGAUGGUCUUCUGCUCUUCGCUGUUCAAAAUGGUGUCCUAUGGUAUUGAAGGUCCCAAACAAAGUCUGGAAAUUUGCCGCUAUAGAGCAACUCCCUGAGAGACUCAAAAGUUCUUCAUGGUUAGACUGUGCACCCAUAAGAGUCUAGCAUGUUCUCAAAGAUUUCCUAUCUUAUUAAUAGUACCAGGCAAUAAUGAACUUUAAUGAUUGUAAAUGAGGUCGUACUGGCAAUAAAGAUCAGAAACCUUUGAGAACAUCCCAACUCAGAUGGAUGCAAAGUUCCACCAAAUGAUUUUAUUACGCCACGAGUUGAACCAUGAAGAGCUCAGAUCUCGCCUGUCAUGGAUUAACUUUAUUUUGUCAUGGAUUACUACAUUUUAUUUGUUAUGGUAUAAAGGAGAGAACCUGGAUGGGACCAAAUAUGACAUGUGCAAUAAAAAAAUCUAAUAUCUGUUUAAUGAACAAGAGAUUCUUGAAAA